GGCCAGAUGGCUCAGCUGGUAGAGCAUUUGACUAGGGAUUCAGAGGGCCCGGUUUUCGAAUCCCGGUCUGGUCC